UCCAGGGUAACAGGAUGCAAAAUUCUAAGUUUCAGGGGUUUUGUGGCUGUUCUCAGAGAUCCUUUUAGGGAUCUGUAAGUUCUCAUUUUUCCAAGGUGUUAUGAUUCAAGAAGAAGUGUGUUUGAGGGACUACAAGCACUUUUCUUCCCCAGAACUAUGGGAAAAGUCCCUGCUUCAAUAUGGUUGUAAGUUCUAGUGUGCUAAAGCUAUCACUGCUGCUAUUCCUAAUUUAAUGGCUCCCAAGGUUCCUUCCUGUUUUGCUGGAGCUGAGGUUGUCUAUGGCAGACUGUGCUAUACUCUCACCCUGCUGCAAAAGACCUUUCCUACUGAUCUUCUAAAAUGUCUUCAGCUGGAAAAUGAUCCCAUAGCAUCUUUUUUGUGGCUUCUGAUGCUCCAAAAUUAGAUUAUUUAGUAAUUAAAUUAGGAAUGUGGACAGGCUUGGAGGAGCACUCAGUUUAUAUUCUAAAUGGAGAAGAUAACACACAGAGGAAUGUGGCCAGUUGGGGUAUUUUGGUCAGGGAAGUCGGAGAGAUGAUUAGAGUCACAAGGUCCACAUAUGAUGCUGUCAGAAGAAACUCAGAAAGCAGGAGAAAAGAUGAAUCCUUGUUCAAGAAAUUUAAGACCACAGAAGUUCAGGUGAUAUUUCCAUCAUUGCUAGUGAAUAAAGUCAAGAGAAAGAUCAA